UUGGUGUCUAGCGAUGUAUUUACCUUGUAGUAGCUCCACGCCUCCUCCCCUGAAGGAGCAGUAUGGCACAGAGGACGGUCGCUGCAGAACGCGACUCGAGCAGUUGAUAGAUAGAGCGUCCCGGCAACAGGGCCAGUAGAUGUUGAGAGGUAACAAGCAAAACUUUUCUUCAGCUUCUCAUUAGGAUCGGUUUCAAAUAUAUGCUUGAAGAGAGACUCAAAGCCACCCUCUGUGAUUGCUUUCACCGUCAGGUUUACCUUACCCCAGGCAGCUUGUGGCACAGAUGGCCCUGUGCUAACUGCAUUAAAGUGUAUGUGCAGGUGCGUGUUAAAACAGAUCAGAAAUAUGAUUGGAAGAUACACUUGAACUAAAUUUGUUGUCCGUUUUGAUGCCAGAAAAACGCUACUCUAUCAUGGUCACAGUCACAGUGAUGAUCAAUUAGCUAAAUUUAAUAUUUCAUGGUUUGUGAACAUCAACUUACGAUUGUGCCAGAUGUUACGGGCUACGGUCUCUGCCAUCUUGCCCCAUUCCUGAAACUUAUGGAUCACAGGUUCAAAAGAUUUCUGGGUUGACUUUUCUGAUUUGUCAAUGGGAGUAUAAACCAGGUAUGGGUGCUCGGGGAUUUGCUGGUGCUCACUGGCAUUCCAUAAGGCAGCCUGUUGGUUGUCAGGGUGGACGUUAGGAGCUGCUGCUGGUCCC